rnacentral:rRNA from 1 species
UACGUAGGUGGCAAGCGUUAUCCGGAUUUAUUGGGCGUAAAGAGAACGCAGGCGGUCUUUUAAGUCUGAUGUGAAAGCCUUCGGCUUAACCGGAGUAGUGCAUUGGAAACUGGGAGACUUGAGUGCAGAAGAGGAGAGUGGAACUCCAUGCGUAGCGGUGAAAUGCGUAGAUAUAUGGAAGAACACCAGUGGCGAAAGCGGCUCUCUGGUCUGUAACUGACGCUGAGGUUCGAAAGCGUGGGUAGCAAACAGG